rnacentral:rRNA from 1 species
AUGAGUCGACCUGAUGGGAUCAACAUCCCCGAUGGCAAGUUCUACCUUGGAGAUGUUGGCUAUGCAUGUCGGCUGGGUAUUCUUCCACCCUUCAGGAAACCAAGUGGGACUUUGAUGAACGCAUGCCUGAGGAGAAAGAGGUCGAGCCUAACGAUGUUGUUAGCUCUCGCCAUGGUGUGGAGGCAUUUGACAAUGAUGCUUGAAAGAACAAAAGGUUGGAGUGGGCAGAGGCAAUGUGGCUUAACAGAGGUCGGUGCAGGAUUUGAAGAAGAGGAAGAAGAAGCAGCAGCAGCAGAAGCACAGAAGAAGAGGAAGAAGAAAAAGCAGCAGCAGAAGCAGAAGAGGAAGAUGAAGAGGAAGAUGAAGCAGCAACACCGAUGA